CGCUCAUCCAGAGGGGCAGAGGGAUACGGCCCGUUGAAGCCCCGGCAACCCUCCAGCCGGUCUCGUACGUACGCCGCCGUCGCGGCGCCGCGAGGCUCCCGGCUAGGGAAGGUGCCAAUUCCGUCUCGCGGCGAGAUGCGUCGCGAGGAAGAUGAGGA
rnacentral:ncRNA from 2 species